rnacentral:rRNA from 1 species
CAGCACCUCAAGUGGUCAGGAUGAUUAUUGGGCCUAAAGCAUCCGUAGCCGGCGCUAUAAGUUUUCGGUUAAAUCUGUACGCUCAACGUACAGGCUGCCGGGAAUACUGCAGCGCUAGGGAGUGGGAGAGGUAGACGGUACUCGGUAGGAAGGGGUAAAAUCCUUUGAUCUAUUGAUGACCACCUGUGGCGAAGGCGGUCUACCAGAACACGUCCGACGGUGAGGGAUGAAAGCUGGGGGAGCAAACCGGAUUAGAGACCCGAGUAGUCC